rfam:Oryza meridionalis cultivar OR44 (W2112) chromosome 3, whole genome shotgun sequence.
UUUAAGCGCAACCAUGAGUUUCCGUAUCCAACUUUAAUCGUUCGUCUUAUUUGAAUUUUUUUAUGAUUAGUAUUUUUAUUGUUAUUAGAUAAUAAAACAUAAAUAAUACUUUAUGCAUGACUUAUGUUUUUUUAUUUUUUAAAAAAAGUUUCAAAUAAGAUGGAUAAUUAAAUUUGGACGCGGAUACUUAUAGCUACGUUUAAA